UGAACGCUGGCGGCGUGCCUAAUACAUGCAAGUCGAGCGAACUGAUUAGAAGCUUGCUUCUAUGACGUUAGCGGCGGACGGGUGAGUAACACGUGGGCAACCUGCCUGUAAGACUGGGAUAACUUCGGGAAACCGAAGCUAAUACCGGAUAGGAUCUUCUCCUUCAUGGGAGAUGAUUGAAAGAUGGUUUCGGCUAUCACUUACAGAUGGGCCCGCGGUGCAUUAGCUAGUUGGUGAGGUAACGGCUCACCAAGGCAACGAUGCAUAGCCGACCUGAGAGGGUGAUCGGCCACACUGGGACUGAGACACGGCCCAGACUCCUACGGGAGGCAGCAGUAGGGAAUCUUCCGCAAUGGACGAAAGUCUGACGGAGCAACGCCGCGUGAGUGAUGAAGGCUUUCGGGUCGUAAAACUCUGUUGUUAGGGAAGAACAAGUACAAGAGUAACUGCUCGUACCUUGACGGUACCUAACCAGAAAGCCACGGCUAACUACGUGCCAGCAGCCGCGGUAAUACGUAGGUGGCAAGCGUUAUCCGGAAUUAUUGGGCGUAAAGCGCGCGCAGGCGGUUUCUUAAGUCUGAUGUGAAAGCCCACGGCUCAACCGUGGAGGGUCAUUGGAAACUGGGGAACUUGAGUGCAGAAGAGAAAAGCGGAAUUCCACGU
rnacentral:rRNA from 2 species